rnacentral:rRNA from 1 species
UACAGAGGGGGCAAGCGUUGUUCGGAAUUACUGGGCGUAAAGGGCGCGUAGGCGGCCGCCUAAGUCAGACGUGAAAUCCCUCGGCUCAACCGGGGAACUGCGUCUGAUACUGGGUGGCUUGAAUCCGGGAGAGGGAUGCGGAAUUCCAGGUGUAGCGGUGAAAUGCGUAGAGAUCCGGAGGAACACCGGUGGCGAAGGCGGCUCCCUGGACCGAUCCUGACGCUCAGGGGCGAAAGCGUGGGGAGCGAUCCGG